rnacentral:rRNA from 1 species
AUACGUAGGUGGCAAGCGUUGUCUGGAUUUAUUGGGCGUAAAGCGCGCGCAGGCGGAUUGGAAAGUCAGAUGUGAAAUCUCGGGGCUCAACCCCGAAACUGCGUCUGAAACUAUCAAUCUAGAAUCUUGGAGAGGGAAGGGGAAUUUCACGUGUAGGGGUAAAAUCCGUAGAGAUGUGAAGGAACACCAGAGGCGAAGGCGCCUUCCUGGACAAGUAUUGACGCUGAGGCGCGAAAGCGUGGGGAGCAAACAGGAUUAGAAACCCCGGUAGUCC